GAUGAACGCUGGCGGCGUGCCUAAUACAUGCAAGUCGAGCGAACAGACGAUGAGCUUGCUCCUCUGACGUUAGCGGCGGACGGGUGAGUAACACGUGGAUAACCUACCUAUAAGACUGGGAUAACUUCGGGAAACCGGAGCUAAUACCGGAUAAUAUAUUGAACCGCAUGGUUCAAUAGUUAAAGACGGUUUUGCUGUCACUUAUAGAUGGAUCCGCGUCGCAUUAGCUAGUUGGUAAGGUAACGGCUUACCAAGGCAACGAUGCGUAGCCGACCUGAGAGGGUGAUCAGCCACACUGGAACUGAGACACGGUCCAGACUCCUACGGGAGGCAGCAGUAGGGAAUAUUCGGCAAUGGGCGAAAGCCUGACGGAGCAAUGCCGCGUGAGUGAUGAAGGUCUUCGGAUCGUAAAACUCUGUUAUUAGGGAAGAACAAAUGUAUAAGUAACUAUGCACGUCUUGACGGUACCUAAACAGAAAGCCACGGCUAACUACGUG
rnacentral:rRNA from 1 species